UACAGAGGGGGCAAGCGUUGUUCGGAAUUACUGGGCGUAAAGGGCGCGUAGGCGGCCUGCUAAGUCGAACGUGAAAUCCCUGGGCUCAACCCAGGAACUGCGUCCGAUACUGGUUGGCUUGAAUCCGGGAGAGGGAUGUGGAAUUCCAGGUGUAGCGGUGAAAGUGCGUAGAUAUCUGGAGGAACACCGGUGGCGAAGGCGGCAUCCUGGGCUGUUGCUGACGCUGAGGCGCGACAGCGGUGGGGAGCAAACAGG
rnacentral:rRNA from 1 species